rnacentral:rRNA from 1 species
UGGGGAAUAUUGGACAAUGGGGGCAACCCUGAUCCAGCAAUGCCGCGUGUGUGAAGAAGGUCUUCGGAUUGUAAAGCACUUUCGACGGGGACGAUGAUGACGGUACCCGUAGAAGAAGCCCCGGCUAACUUCGUGCCAGCAGCCGCGGUAAUACGAAGGGGGCCUAGCGUUGCUCGGAAUGACUGGGCGUAAAGGGCGUGUAGGCGGUUUACACAGUCAGAUGUGAAAU